rnacentral:tRNA from 1 species
GCUCGGGUGGCCGAGUGGUCUAAGGCGGUGGACUUAAGUUCCACUGUCCCGUGAGGGACGCGUGGGUUCGAACCCCACCCCGUGCA